rnacentral:antisense_RNA from 1 species
CUCUGUGACUGGCUUGCUUGAUAGUUAGGGUCUGAUUGCUGCCUGAGACACCAUAUCGGUACUCCUCAGAGUUGAUGCAUAGUGUUCAUAUGAGGAGAGACUUUCCCUUGUCUCCGUCAUCUGUGAUUUCACUUCCCUGACAGAAGACGAAGCUUCCAUCUCAGAUGUUUUCUUAAAUGAUGAAACAGCAUACGCCUCUGUUCUUGUCAGCUCAGGGAAAACAGAUCUGGGGACCUCUUCAUCUCUGCGUCGGGAAGCAUAGGUGGUAUAAUCCCCUCCUGUUACGUCCAGCGUUGCAUAGUCAGAAGCUUCGCCCUUGUAGUUGGUGCACACAGCACGGUGAUCACAGGAUCUGGUUUGCCACUGAAAGGAAUCUUGAUGCUGACCACUUCACCUCGGAGAGCAUGAACUGCUCCCAUGCCUUCAAGAGUUUUAGGAUGGCAUCAACUGUUCCAAAAACAUUGCUGAGCUGGACUUUGUAUUUCCCAGCAUGAGUCUUACGUUGGACAUUCUUCAUGACAAGAUGAGUAUAGUGCUCAGUGUUUUCAAUAGUAAUGUUUUCUGAGUUUUGCAAAAGUUUCUGACCAUGGAACCAAGUCAUGGCAGGUACUGGACGACCAAUGUACAUAACAUGAAGCCGAAGUGUGGAACCCACAGCUCCAUAAUAUUUCUCUUUCAGUGGGUAACCAGGAUGGAACUGUGGUGUUGCUUGCAGGAGAAGCUUACUACUGGUUUCUACUUCUCCAACCUCAUUGGUGGCUAUGCAGGCACUGUCUCCAGACUGUCUAUAUUCAACC